AUGCUUCCACAGGUGCACAUAUGUGCAGCGGCUAUUCCAGGUAGCAAAUAUAUGUACAGCAGUUUUGUACAUUGGCUUACUCUACCAUACAACCUGGCAGAGCCCCAAGAAAGAUCCUGGCUGUCACAGAUAGUCUCCUGCUUGCUGAAGGAGACAGCUGCCUUCCAGCUAAAUCAGCCCACUUGUUCUGUUAAGUGCCCUUCCAGGCUGGACCUCUUGCAGGUUGCCCAUGCAGCUGUAGGAUCUCAUUGUGCAAUCUGGCAACUGCUGGCAGGAGGAUGAGUUGACCAUGAGGCCAACAAAGGUGAGAAGGGUCACUCAAAUUUAUCAUAGAAUAGUUUGGGUUGGAAAGGACCUUCAAAGAUCAUCUAUUUCCAACCUCCUGCCAUAGGCAGGGAUGCCACCUGCUAGAACGGGAUGCCCAGGGCCUCAUCCAUCCUGGUCUUGAACAACUCUCAUCACUGAUCUCCAUCUGGACAUUGAGUCAUUGACCUCAGCUCCCUGGAGGUGGCUAUCCAGCCAAUUCCUUGUGCAGUGAACAGUCCACCUUUCAGAUCCAUCUCUCUCCAAUUUGGAGACAAAGAUGUUGUGUGGGACUGGAUCAAAGGCCUUACAGAACUCACUCCAUCAUAGAAGGCUAAUAGGUCAGGCACAAUUUGCCUUUGCUGACGCCGUGUUGUCGCUUCCCUGUCUUCUCUAUGCCUUAACGUGGUUUCCAGGAGGAUGUUCCAUGAUGUUCCCAGGCACAGUUGUGAGGCUGACCAGUCUGUGGUUCCUUGGGUCCUUGUAAAAAUGUGCUGUUUCUCUUUCUCCAGUCAAUGGGGACUUCAUCUGCCAUGAGCUAUAUUUAUACCUAAGCCAGAGCAGCCGUUCAGCAGAGAGCUAUGUGAUAACUUAUUGCCAUGGGCCAGUGCUGCACAGUGUAACAAAUUCCUCUGUGGCUGGAACAAGCACUUCUGGAUUCAGCUCAAACUCUUGGUGGGCCAUGCAAUUAUUGAUGGCGCUGCCUUUUAAAAAAUAUUUAAGUUUCAUUUCAUAAUCAUUUGAAUCUUUUAAACUUACAUAUUAAUUUGUAGCUGCCAUUAUUCCUCUGCCUGAGGGAAAAAUACUUUACAGGCUAAUGUAAACCCUAACAUUUUGACAGCAAUUUCUGCACGGUUGCCAGUUUCUGAUAUUACAGAAGAAAAUAUAUGUGUGAUGUGUUAAUUAGGCUUUCUGAAGGACAAAAUCUCUUUUAUGUGUCCGUGUGUAUUAGCUCAGCCAUGGAUCUAAUCCUGGUCUCUGCGUAAAGUCCAGGAAGGUUAGCAUAUUUCAGGAAAAAAACAAAUCUCCCCUUCAGUCUGUGAGCACAUAGGGUCGCUAUUACCAUCACAGUGAAUCUGCCCGUUCAGGGUUUUUCAUUGAAGACAAAAUUAUGGAAAUGACUUCCUUGUUUAAUUCCCCUUCCAAUAUUCUUUCAGAACUUUUUAACACAUGAUAGAAAAGACAGUGAAACUUAAUACCCAGCUGGUGUCUCCACUCUUUGAAGGGUAGCAUUUUUUUUCUCCUUUUAAAUUAAUCCCUCUUUCAUACCAGAAGAAUUUCUUAUUUUUCAAAUGUAAUAAUAAAAACAUGUGGUUGAUGCA
rnacentral:lncRNA from 1 species